AGAAAGACGGCCUGCAGAAGACCAGGAACGGUUCUGACUAUAGUCUCCAGGAUUGAGGUACAACGUCUGAGAAGUGGAGAAAGAGGCUGCCCAGGACUUGCAGGCUAAACAAAACAAAUCAGAUGAUCCUCCCCUCCCCGUAAGAUUCUUAACUGAAGCACAGCCUCUUACUGACAACUGACCCUACAAGAAGCCACUGUUACUAACAAGAAAAGUGUAUCUUCGAUGUUGAGGCACCAAAAAAUCUGUGCUCAAAAGAAUUUUCAGAACACAACUAUUGUUGCCUAGAAUACUUCAACUUCUUGAAAUUUCUAAAGCACUUAUCUAGUUUACUCUCAGUCCAGCUGCCAGAAGAAGCCUUUUAAAAUGCUGAACUGGAUCAUGUGGGAAACCGUCUGGUGGCUCCCCACUGUUCUCAGAACUGAAGUCAGAGAAAUCACCAC